GAUGAACGCUGGCGGCGUGCUUAACACAUGCAAGUCGAACGAUGAUGCCAGCUUGCUGGCGGAUUAGUGGCGAACGGGUGAGUAACACGUGAGUAACCUGCCCUUAACUCUGGGAUAAGCCUUGGAAACGGGGUCUAAUACUGGAUAUUGACUUUUCCUCGCAUGGGGAUUGGUUGAAAGAUUUAUUGGUUUUGGAUGGACUCGCGGCCUAUCAGCUUGUUGGUGAGGUAAUGGCUCACCAAGGCGACGACGGGUAGCCGGCCUGAGAGGGUGACCGGCCACACUGGGACUGAGACACGGCCCAGACUCCUACGGGAGGCAGCAGUGGGGAAUAUUGCACAAUGGGCGAAAGCCUGAUGCAGCGACGCCGCGUGAGGGAUGACGGCCUUCGGGUUGUAAACCUCUUUCAGUAGGGAACAAGGCCAGUGUUUAGCUGGUUGAGGGUACUUGCAGAAGAAGCGCCGGCUAACUACGUGC
rnacentral:rRNA from 1 species